rnacentral:lncRNA from 1 species
UAAGAUUCCACCAUUCACACAAGCACAGAAAGCGGAGACAGAAGACCUGAGCUGAAUUCUCAGAACAUGCUCCUUGUUCACAAAGGCGUAGUCUCUGCCAGAUAAGUAAGAUUCAAAGCACAGGAACCAACACCACCACAAACACAAUUUCUUCAUUGCAAGAGAGAACGACCUACUGGGGAUCUGUUUUACGGUCUCAGAAUUUUCAACUUGGAGGGAACAUUACAAGCCCGUGGAGAUCAACCUUCAACCUACGUGAUCACUGUUCUAGCCACUGGAUCAAAAAGAGGCAAGGAAGGGAAGAGCACCAGAGGGAGGGAGGAAGAGAAGGAGAAAAAGAGAGAGAGAGUGUGAAGAAUUAAGCCACACAGGGAUGCAAUCAGAAUCCUGCGACUCAACGCUUACCUAACUCUGUGUCCUCUCAGACUGACUUCAAACCACAGAUGCUCACUGGAUAGGAGGUUGGCUCAGGGACAGGAAGAUUAGCCCUGAGCGCCUUCACCACCAAUCCUCCUCUUUUUGCUGAGGAAGACUGGCCCUGAGUUAACACCUGUACCCAUCUUCCUCUACUUUAUAUGUGGGGCGCCUGCCACAGCAUGGCUUGACAAGCGGUGCCAUGUCCACACCCAAGAUCCACACUGGGGAUCGGAACCAGCAAAUCCUGGUCCUAGAAGCAGAGCACGGCAACCCAACUGCUAUGCCACCAGGAGGGCCACUAAUAUAGUGCAUUUUUGACACUCACUAAGUAUUUGUUAACUCCAGAUAAUUAAGACAAAGGAUGCUUUCAAUUUGAUGUAUAUGAAGUGACAACGAAUAAGCAGAAGAGGCCAAGAUACCAGGAAAUUUAAAAGCUGUGCCCACAGAAUGGAUCAGGGAAAUAAAUUAAAGCCUUGAAAUUCAGAGGGUUUUUUUUUUUCAUUAAAACUAAUUACCUUUAUUAGGUAAUGUGUGGAAAGCGGUUUUCAUGCAUAUACGCACGAGGAAUGUAACUCAUCAUCACCAUCUGAUGAGUCAGCAAGCCCUGGUCAGGUGCACGGUUAGAGAUCUUUGCUGAUACGAAAGGACACAUGGCUGUUCCCCUCCUCCUAUAACUUAAAGAACAGAAGGAGAAAGAAAGAAAAUAUUGCUCACGCUAACAUGCAACUUAGAAGUCAACUGUCGUUUUUCCCUCCUUUGAAGUCCUUCCCCUUUCUCACCCCUCAAAAGAAAUCUCCAGAAGCUACCUAAAGGUUUCAUGGAGGAGAGAAGUUUACACCGCCACCUCUCAACUAACCGCAUGAAAGACCUCCCCUCGGGCGUUUUCCCCCUGCUUUGCAGGGUGCACCUGAGGGUCUAAUUC